AUGCAUCGAAGGAGAGCUCGGGGUACGGCCGCCGCCGCCGCCACGCGUGGAUGGUCUUCCUGUCCGGCCAUCAGGGUAGCCCACGCGGGCGAGCUGCAGAUUUGGAUGGGCUGCCUGGCCCACGCAGCGGACGGCGGUGGUUCGAGCAACUCCUCGACGCAGGGAAAAAGAUUGGCGGCGCUGGAGUUCGCCGGAACGGGCAGGCGGCCGGUGGGUGACGCGAGGCCGCGGCGCAGGAAGACGAGCGGAUCCGGCUGCUGGCGCGGCGGCUUGCUCCGGUGGCGGCGGCGUCCUGCUCAUCCGUAG
rnacentral:rRNA from 1 species